rnacentral:rRNA from 1 species
AGAGUUUGAUUUUGGUUUAGGAUGAACGCUAGCGGCAGGCUUAAUAUAUGUAAGUAGAGGGGUAAGGUUUUGUUUGUAGAAUAUAUGAUUGGUGUAUGGGUGAGUAUUGUGUUUGUAAUUUACCUGUAGCUGGGGUAUAGUUUUUGGAAAUGGAAAUUAAUAUUUUAUAAUAUCAUAGAUUCGUAUGUUUUUAUGAUUAAAGUUUUGAUGGUUAUAGAUGGGUAUGUGUGAUAUUAGGUAGUUGGUAAGGUAAUGGUUUACCAAGCCUAUGAUGUUUAGGGGGUUUGAGAGGAUGAUUUUUUAUAUUGGUAUGAGAUAUGGACUAGACUCCUAUGGGAGGUAGUAGUGAGGAAUAUUGGUUAAUGGGAGUAAGUUUGAAUUAGCCAUGCCGCGUGCAGGAUGAAUGCCCUAUGGGUUGUAAACUGCUUUUCUGCAAGAAGAAAUCCACCGAUGUGUUGGAGGUUGAUGGUAUUGCAGGAAUAAGCAUCGGCUAAUUCCGUGUUAGUAGUUGUGGUAAUAUGGGGGAUGCAAGCGUUAUCCGGAUUUAUUGGGUUUAAAGGGUGCGUAGGCGGGACAAUAAGUCAGUGGUGAAAUUUUAUAGUUUAAUUAUAGAAUUGCCAUUGAUACUGUUGUUCUUGAGUCCAGUUGAGGUGGGCGGAAUGUAUAAUGUAGUGGUGAAAUGUUUAGAUAUUUUAUAGAAUGUUAAUUGUGAAGGUAGCUCACUAAACUGGUAUUGACGCUGAGGCACGAAAGUGUGGGGAGUGAAUAGGAUUAGAUAUUUAGGUAGUUUAUGUUGUAAAUGAUGAUUACUCGUAGUUGGCAAUAUAUUGUCAGCGACUGAGUAAAAGUAUUAAGUGAUUUAUUUGGGGAGUAUGGUCGUAAGAUUGAAACUCAAAGGAAUUGAUGGGGGUUUGUAUAAGUGGUGGAAUAUGUGGUUUAAUUUGAUGAUAUGUGAGGAACCUUACCUGGGCUUAAAUGUAGAGUGAUUUUUUGGGAAAUUGGAAUUUUUUUUGGGAUAAUUUGUAAGGUGCUGCAUGGCUGUCGUCAGUUCGUGCCGUGAGGUGUUGGGUUUUUAUAACGAGCGCAACCCCUAUCGUUAGUUGCCAGCGGAUAAUGCGGGGGAUUCUAACGAAACUGUUGGUGUAAACCGAGAGGAAGGUGGGGAUGACGUCAAGUCAGCACGGCCCUUACGUUUAGGGUUAUAUAUGUGUUAUAAUGGUUAGUAUAAAGGGUAGUUAUUAGGUGAUUGGAUGUUAAUUUUUAAAGUUGGUUUUAGUUCGGAUUGAAGUCUGUAAUUUGACUUCAUGAAGGUGGAAUCGCUAGUAAUCGCGUAUCAGCAAUGAUGUGGUGAAUAUGUUCCUGGGUUUUG